GAUGAACGCUGGCGGCGUGCCUAAUACAUGCAAGUCGAGCGAACGGACGAGAAGCUUGCUUCUCUGAUGUUAGCGGCGGACGGGUGAGUAACACGUGGAUAACCUACCUAUAAGACUGGGAUAACUUCGGGAAACCGGAGCUAAUACCGGAUGAUAUUUUGAACCGCAUGGUUCAAAAGUGAAAGACGGUCUUGCUGUCACUUAUAGAUGGAUCCGCGCUGCAUUAGCUAGUUGGUAAGGUAACGGCUUACCAAGGCAACGAUGCGUAGCCGACCUGAGAGGGUGAUCGGCCACACUGGAACUGAGACACGGUCCAGACUCCUACGGGAGGCAGCAGUAGGGAAUCUUCCGCAAUGGGCGAAAGCCUGACGGAGCAACGCCGCGUGAGUGAUGAAGGUCUUCGGACCGUAAAACUCUGUUAUUAGGGAAGAACAUAUGUGUAAGUAACUGUGCACAUCUUGACGGUACCUAAUCAGAAAGCCACGGCUAACUACGUG
rnacentral:rRNA from 1 species